rnacentral:rRNA from 12 species
GGUUGUGGCUGCACUGGAGUGUGAGUGUCCAAUAGAGUCUGCUCUUGGAAGCUAAGCAGGGCUAUGCCUGGUUAUUACUUGGAUGGAAGACUAACCUGAAAGAACAGGAGCUGCUAUCC